UUGCGUUUUAAAUGGACUUUUGCGUUAAAAAGUCCUUUUCUCUUAAAAGGAGAGAAGAACGGCCUCCAUCUUCUCAAAAAAUUCUCCAUCUCAAACGUCAUUUUCUCCUGAUGGAGAAGCUGAAAAUUUCACCAUCUAAAAAGCUUGAAGUGCUUUUGGCUGAUAAAUGACCAAAAUAACCUGUCUUCUCCCCCUUGGAAAAACGUUAUUUCCUCUGCUGUGAAAGUUCUAUACCCAUUUUUUUUCACAUUUUUGCUGUGAAAGCUCCUUCCUGUUCUUUGUUCCUCUUCCGCAGGUGAGUUCGUUUUCUUCUUCUUCUCUUUAAUUAUUAGUUAUGCUUUGUUUUUAUUUACUUUUUAAUUCUGGCUUUUGUGCCUCUUUUGCUUUACUGUUUUGUGCCUCUACUGCUGCUUUGCUCUGCCUCUUUUGUUUUGUGCCUCUUUCUAAAAAGAAAAAUGCCAGGGCUGGGUUACUGAAGAACUCUCAACCUCUGAAAAAAAAAACAGAGAAGAUUUUAUACUUAGAAAAACGAAACGCGAUGCAGUGGAAUUUCUCUUCGGAUUCAGUUAAAUUUCAGUUUCCCUGUUGAUACUUAAUUUCUUUUCCGUAUAUUUCCUUUUUGUUUUGUGACAAUGUCCGGCGAAACGGCAUCGUCUUCUGGAAUCAUCUUGGAAGGAAUUGAUGAUGUGGAGGACUACGUUUCGGUUUAUUAUAGGUUACAAUGGCCGUAAUGACUGCGCCGUAGCCAAAAAAUAAAAAAAGUGAUGAUCUGCCCCGUUGAUGUUUGCAUUUGGUUGGCAGACCUUGAUAAAUAUAGGAGUUGACGUUUUAGUUUUAUCUAUGUAUUCUCAUACAAUUUAUGAAAAUUAUACUGUAGGUAUUGUGCAUAUUUGCAGAGAGUUUUUGGUUUUAAGACUACAUUUGUGAAUUAAAUUAACAUUGACUGAAGUGUAGGCCAAUGAAGGAGUGGGGUUUUGGGACCGAUAUCGUCAUGUUUAUGAUCAUUUGGUCAUUCAAAUUCUUGCAAGAGCUCCAUAACUUUUAAAUAUGAUUUAUUUGCUCUA